UACGUAGGAGGCGAGCGUUGUCCGGAGUUACUGGGCGUAAAGGGUGCGCAGGCGGUGGCCCGCGUGGGCGGUGAAAGCUCCUGGCUCAACUGGGAGAGGGCCGUCCAGACGGGGUCACUUGAGGGGCGGAGAGGGGCGUGGAAUUCCGGGUGGAGCGGUGAAAUGCGUAGAGAUCGGGAGGAACACCAGUGGCGAAGGCGGCUACCUGGACCAGCACUGACACUGAGGCACGAAAGCGUGGGGAGCAAACAGG
rnacentral:rRNA from 1 species